rnacentral:rRNA from 1 species
UACAGAGGGUGCGAGCGUUAUUCGGAAUUACUGGGCGUAAAGCGCGCGUAGGCGGCAUUGCAAGUCGGGUGUGAAAUCCCCAGGCUUAACCUGGGAACUGCAUUCGAGACUGCACUGCUAGAGUAUGGGAGAGGGAAGUGGAAUUUCCGGUGUAGCGGUGAAAUGCGUAGAUAUCGGAAGGAACAUCAGUGGCGAAAGCGACUUCCUGGACCAAUACUGACGCUCAUGUGCGAAAGCGUGGGGAGCAAACAGG